rnacentral:lncRNA from 1 species
AAUUGGAGAUAAAAAUAAUGUCUACCUCCUGGGGUUUUGAGAAGAUUAAACAUAAUAAUGGACAUGAGCACCUUGGACAAGUACCUGGCCUCAAGCAGUGGUCCCAGGGUCCAACUUGUGCUAUUUGGAAAUCAAGACAUGUCCAGAGAGGGUUUUCAGGAAAAGGCUUCCAGUGAUGCCACAUGCAAAGCUUAAUUGCUCCACUGAAACACUGGCAACAAAAAUCGUCUUCUCUUCUCCCUUUGUGAAAAAGGCUUUCACUUAAUGUGGAGAAAGGUAUUAUAUACCAGGGAAAUGGAACUUUGUAUAAAUGAUUUUCCCCCAAGAGGAACUAAAGCAUUUGGAAGGUAUCUGAAUUCAGGUGAGGACCUAAUUUAUUACUGAGGACCUAAUCUACGGGAGGUGCAAAGAAGAAUGAAAUAUUGUGUCUGCCUGUGAUGCACAUUGCUUAAUAUGAAUACUAAGAAAAAUAGUCAUCUGUUUCUGUUCCUGUCCCCCUCACUGCAAGGGCACUUCAGGACUGCAGCAAAGGGCAUUUGAUGGAGUCUAUAACAGGAAAGAAAGUCCUCCUCUGGAAUUUCUGACUAUAUUUCAUUGGCCACAACUGGAUUCCAUGGCCACCCCUAACUACUGGGGAGGCUGAGAAUUCAAAUGCUGAAAAUUGCAAUCUCCAUAGUGAAAGACACGAAGAAAGAAAUUGAUUGAAAUGGGUUAAUUAAUUCAAUUAGCAACACUUUUUCUCAGCAAAGGAGCUGAGAAAGAAAAUGUUUUGGUUCAGUCCUGGGUAGGGGUGCUUGACAGUGCUUAAUAUCACCAGCACUGAAGGUAAUAAAUAUUAUCUCUCUUUUCUAUCAUGAAUAUGAAUGAUACUCUGAAGGCUGAAUGCAACCUCAGAAUUUAAGUGAGAAAUGAGGCAUGCAACACUUUUGAAAAUA